CCAAGUAUCACAAGAGGAUUCAGACAAGGAUUCAAAUGCGAUGGCUACUUUAGGGGAGUUCUCUUAUAACCUUGACAACAGCAAUGCCCAGACCUUCCAACUAGAGAGAAGCGCCAAUCCACAAGCUGUCAACAUGGUUCGGUUUGAAUUCUCCUCAAACCACGGGAACUCGGAACUUACAUGCAUCUAUCGCUUCAGGGUGCAUGGUACAGAGCCUGGCACCCUCAGCAUUGCAGCAUGAUGCCCUGAUGGCCUGCUCUGUGAGUUGCAUGCAGGGCUUCACAAGAUUCCCACAGCUCAUUUGCCAGUGUGAGCAUGGUUUAGCAUUUAGUCAGCACUUCAGGCCCUAUCAGACAGUUCUAGGACAGGUGGGAGAGUGAAUGCCAGAGCAUGGCGCAAGGGAAGGUUGAGCUCAUU
rnacentral:lncRNA from 1 species